AAUCCCGCUUCCUGAGUCCGUGUUUGCCUGUGUUUCUGUCCUGGAGUGUGUUUCCGGUGUCCUGGAACGCACCCUGUCUGGUUACCGGGCGAAUUAGCUUGUUGGGAGAUCGAUGUAUCUGUAUCCCAUCAGUAAUCUGCACACCUGUCCUGAUCAUCAUCUCUCCCCUUCAAAAGCUCGGACCUGACAUCCAUUCCCUGCCGGAUCGUUAGCCAUGAACAUUACUCACCCGGAUCAUUUACCCCAUUCCCGCCUGGUCGUCGGAGGAUUCCGCUACCCCAUUGGAUCCACCUAUUUACUCCCAUCAACUCAACACCGCUGCCCGCUACGCCACCUGGAUAUAUCUACCCAUUCACAUCCAAUUGUAAAUAAAUACUCACCUUCUUCCUACUCCCCUUGUCCUGGUCUGCUUCUGGGUUCGAUUUUGAAAGAACGUGACAACUUUUUCACAUCAAUAUUGUACAUGUGAUUGUAAAAGUUUUGUAUAUUUUGGUUUGGCCCAUCGUGGGUUAUCUGUAUUUCUGUACCCCCUUAUUGUUCUCUUUUGCCUGACCUUCGGCUAGCAAGGUAUGUUGUUCUUGGCUCCGAAAUGAAUGUUACACAAUGUGCUGUUAUGCAACCAUAAGUUUGUUACAAUGUGGACAAUAUAAAGAUUUAUGUUAACAAGUUUCACCGAACUCGCUAACUAGGGUACCUAUUGUAACUUGUGAGUACUUGGGAAAGUGAGUGUCCAUGUGCUUGCGCAGGUGCCUGAGAGCUGUGACUGCGCCGAGGGCUAAAAUAUUGUGUGUUGUCUCUUCCCGUACAGGGAAAAUAAAGAAUGCAACCAGCAGAC